rnacentral:rRNA from 1 species
UACGGGGGGGGCAAGCGUUGUUCGGAAUUACUGGGCGUAAAGGGCCAGUAGGCGGCCAACUAAGUCCGACGUGAAAUCCCCAGGCUUAACCUGGGAACUGCGUCGGAUACUGGAUGGCUUGAAUUCGGGAGAGGGAUGCAGAAUUCCAGGUGUAGCGGUGAAAUGCGUAGAUAUCAGGAGGAACACCGGUGGCGAAGGCGGGUCUCUGGGCCGAUACUGACGCUGAGGAGCGAAAGCGUGGGGAGCGAACAGG